UGGAACCUACGGGGGGCAGCAGUGGGGGAAAUUGGACAAUGGGGGGGAACCCUGAUCCAGCGACGCCGCGUGAGUGAAGAAGUAUUUCGGUAUGUAAAGCUCUGUCAGCAGGGAAGAAAGCAAUGACGGUACCUGACCAAGAAGCCCCGGCUAACUACGUGCCAGCAGCCGCGGUAAUACGUAGGGGGCAAGCGUUAUCCGGAUUUACUGGGUGUAAAGGGAGCGUAGACGGCAGCGCAAGUCUGGAGUGAAAUGCCGGGGCCCAACCCCGGAACUGCUCUGGAAACUGUGAAGCUGGAGUGCAG
rnacentral:rRNA from 1 species